rnacentral:rRNA from 1 species
AUUGAACGCUGGCGGCAGGCCUAACACAUGCAAGUCGAGCGAGCGGCGGACGGGUGAGUAAUGUCUGGGACACUGCCUGAUGGAGGGGGAUAACUACUGUAAACGGUAGCUAAUACCGCAUACCAUCAGAUGUGCCCAGAUGGGAUUAGCUAGUAGGUGGGGUAACGGCUCACCUAGGCGACGAUCCCUAGCUGGUCUGAGAGGAUGACCAGCAACACGGGAAAGGAGACACGGUCCAGACUCCUACGGGAGGCAGCAGUGGAGAAUAUUGCACAAUGGGCGCGAGCCUGAUGCAGUCAUGCCGAGUGUGUGAAGAAGUCACUCGGGUUGUAAAGCACUUUCAGCGGGGAGGCGUUACCCGCAGAAGAAGCGCCGGCUAACUACGGGGCAGCAGCCGCGGUAAUUC